CGGAGUGUGGCUCAGUCUGGUAGAGCACCGCGUUCGGGACGCGGGGGUCGUAGGUUCGAAUCCUANNUUACCCCCU
rnacentral:tRNA from 1 species